GCCACGCGCGCCGCCCCUGGCCCUUUUACAAAAAGGCCCUCAACCUUUGUAGUAAUUAACCCGCAGUCCUGCGUAGUUUUGUUUUAUUUAAAUCUAGUCCCUGGUUUUAGCAGUUUACCCCCUGUAGCCAUCGGUAUUAGCAGAUUUAGUCCAAUUUCCAUUUCAAUUUCAGUUUUUAAUUAUUUUAAAUGCGAAAAAUAGUUUUCUUAAUCUACAGAAUUGCCACCCAACUUGUUUUAGCCAUAACUUUUGCGUUCUAACUCCGGU
rnacentral:lncRNA from 1 species